rnacentral:rRNA from 1 species
UGGUCAAUAGCCUAACGKCUGAACCAGCAACUUGGAGGAAGGUAUAGCAUUAGCUAAUUAUAUUUAGUUAAAUAUAAUUUCGACUACGUCGUAUAAAAUUCUAGAUGGAUAAUUGAUGAUGACAGAUUUCUAUCUAUAUGUCUUGACCAAAUCUCGUGCCAGCAGUCGCGGUAAAACGAGGGAGACUAGUGUUAUUCAUCUUUAAUAGGUUUAAAGGGUACCUAGACGGUAUUUCCAGCCAAAAUGGUACAGAUUUACUAGAGUUUAAUAUGUGAGAAGGUCGUACUUCUGGUGUAGAGAUGAAAUUUUUUGAUACCUUAAGGACUGGCAAAAAGCGAAAGCAACCUUAAUACUAUGUAUAAACUGACGUUGAGGGACGAAGGCUUGGGAAGCAAACAGGAUUAGAUACCCCAGUAGUCCUUGCAGAAAAUUAUGAAUGUCAUAUAUUAGAAUUUCUAGUAUAUAAAUGAAAGUGUAAGCAUUCCACCUCAAGAGUAAUGUGGCAACACAGAAACUGAAAUCAUUAGACCGUUUCUGAAACCAGUAGUGAAGUAUGUUAUUUAAUUCGAUGGUCCACGAAAAACCUUACCACAAUUUGUAUAAAAAAUUAUUUUUUUUACAAGUGUUGCACGGCUGUCUUCAGUUAAUGUCGUGAGAUUUGGUUAGUUCCAUUUAAUUAACGUAAGCCCUUACUUUUUUUAUUGUAAAAAAAAGUUGUAAACCGUUAUAUUGGUUAAGCUAAAAG